rnacentral:rRNA from 1 species
ACGGAUAACAUACCGAAAGGUAUGCUAAUACGGGAUAAUAUAUUUGAGAGGCAUCUCUUGAAUAUCAAAGGUGAGCCAGUACAGGAUGGACCCGCGUCUGAUUAGCUAGUUGGUAAGGUAACGGCUUACCAAGGCGACGAUCAGUAGCCGACCUGAGAGGGUGAUCGGCCACAUUGGAACUGAGACACGGUCCAAACUCCUACGGGAGGCAGCAGUGGGGAAUAUUGCACAAUGGGCGAAAGCCUGAUGCAGCAACGCCGCGUGAGUGAUGAAGGCCUUCGGGUCGUAAAACUCUGUCCUCAAGGAAGAUAAUGACGGUACUUGAGGAGGAAGCCCCGGCUAACUACGUGCCAGCAGCCGCGGUAAUACGUAGGGGGCUAGCGUUAUCCGGAUUUACUGGGCGUAAAGGGUGCGUAGGCGGUCUUUCAAGUCAGGAGUGAAAGGCUACGGCUCAACCGUAGUAAGCUCUUGAAACCGGGAGACUUGAGUGCAGGAGAGGAGAGUGGAAUUCCUAGUGUAGCGGUGAAAUGCGUAGAUAUUAGGAGGAACACCAGUUGCGAAGGCGGCUCUCUGGACUGUAACUGACGCUGAGGCACGAAAGCGUGGGGAGCAAACAGGAUUAGAUACCCUGGUAGUCCACGCUGUAAACGAUGAGUACUAGGUGUCGGGGGUUACCCCCUUCGGUGCCGCAG